GUAGGGAAUAUUGGGCAAUGGAUGCAAGUCUGACCCAGCCAUGCCGCGUGGAGGAAGAAGGUCCUCUGGAUUGUAAACUCCUUUUUUGGGGGAAGAAUAGUUCUCUUGCGAGGGAAUGUGACGGUACCCUAACAAUAAGCCACGGCUAACUACGUGCCAGCAGCCGCGGUAAUACGUAGGUGGCAAGCGUUGUCCGGAUUUAUUGGGUUUAAAGGGUGCGUAGGUGGUUUGAUAAGUCAGUGGUGAAAGCUGGUUGCUCAACAAUCAAGUUGCCAUUGAUACUGUCGGACUUGAGAGAAGUGGAGGUUCAUGGAAUGGAUGGUGUAGCGGUGAAAUGCAUAGAUAUCAUCCAGAACGUCGAUUGCGAAGGCAGUGGGCUGUACUUUAUCUGACACUGAGGCACGAAAGUGUGGGGAUCAAACAGGAUUAGAUACCCCAGUAGUCC
rnacentral:rRNA from 1 species